rnacentral:lncRNA from 10 species
GCCCCUCACUCCGCACCGGCCAAUGGCACCGCCCCGUCCGCCCCGCUCUGGGAACGCCGAAAGAACAGAUGUCUCUCCUGCCUGCCUGUCUCAAAUGAGGACAUGAUGUGUAAUGUCUGGAGCACUGGCAGCCAUGUUGAGAUCAUAAAGCAACAUGUCCGCAUGCUGAGGCUGGCAGAGCAUAAAGAUCAAAGGUGUCUGGAUCCUUCUUAACAUCAUGGAGCUUCUGCACCAACCCUGCACUGCCUACUCCAGACUCCCUACCAUGGAGAAAAAUUAGCCCCUAUUUCUUCAAGGCAGAGAUUCAGGUAAGAAAACAAACUCAGGGAGGCUGAGUUCCCCCUCC